AGGCGUUGGUGGCGUUGGUUGGAGCCACACAGGGCCACAGCGAGCGGACGCCGGACAAGCGCAUCAUCAACAGGCGUCGUUGGAACCCCACAAGCGAUGCACCAGCAUUUUCUGCUUCUGUUCAACGUGUGGUGCGUUCGCGCCUCUCAAAUUUACGUGGACGGCGUACAUAAAGCGGACAAAACAACGUGAUCAGUAUUCAAAGUGACCUACAAUUAUGUACCUAAUCAACGGCAGCAACGUGAUCAGUAUUCAAAGUGACCUACAAUUAUGUACCUAAUCAACGGCAGCAACGUGAUCAGUAUUCAAAGUGACCUACAAUUAUGUACCUAAUCAACGGCAGCAACGUGAUCAGUAUUCAAAGUGACCUACAAUUAUGUACCUAAUCAACGGCAGG